AUUGAACGCUGGCGGCAGGCCUAACACAUGCGAGUCGAGCGGAUGAAGGGAGCUUGCUCCUGGAUUCAGCGGCGGACGGGUGAGUAAUGCCUAGGAAUCUGCCUGGUAGUGGAGGAUAACGUCCGGAAACGGGCGCUAAUACCGCAUACGUCCUGAGGGAGAAAGUGGGGGAUCUUCGGACCUCACGCUAUCAGAUGAGCCUAGGUCGGAUUAGCUAGUUGGUGGGGUAAAGGCCUACCAAGGCGACGAUCCGUAACUGGUCUGAGAGGAUGAUCAGUCACACUGGAACUGAGACACGGUCCAGACUCCUACGGGAGGCAGCAGUGGGGAAUAUUGGACAAUGGGCGAAAGCCUGAUCCAGCCAUGCCGCGUGUGUGAAGAAGGUCUUCGGAUUGUAAAGCACUUUAAGUUGGGAAGAAGGGCAGUAAGAUAAUACCUUGCUGUUUUGACGUUACCAACAGAAUAAGCACCGGCUAACUUCGUG
rnacentral:rRNA from 1 species